UACGUAGGGGGCUAGCGUUAUCCGGAAUUACUGGGCGUAAAGGGUGCGUAGGUGGUUUCUUAAGUUAGAGGUGAAAGGCUACGGCUCAACCGUAGUAAGCCUUUGAAACUGGGAAACUUGAGUGCAGGAGAGGAGAGUGGAAUUCCUAGUGUAGCGGUGAAAUGCGUAGAUAUUAGGAGGAACACCAGUUGCGAAGGCGGCUCUCUGGACUGUAACUGACGCUGAGGCACGAAAGCGUGGGGAGCAAACAGG
rnacentral:rRNA from 1 species